rfam:Capsicum annuum cultivar Zunla-1 chromosome 2, whole genome shotgun sequence
UACCUGGUUGAUCUUUCUAGUUGUCACAUGUUUGUCUCAAAGAUGAAGCCAUGCAUGUGUAAGUAUGAACAAAUUCAUUCUGUAAAAGUGCAAAUGGCUUAUUAAAUAAGUUAUAGUUUGUUUGAUGGUAUCUACUACUUGGAUAACCGUAGUAAUUCUAGAGCUAAAAGGUGCAACAAAACUCAACUUUUGGAAGGGAUGCAUUUAUUAUAUAAAAGGUCGAUACGGGUAUGGCCCAUCAUGGCGAUGAUUUAUGAUAACUCGAUAGAUCGCACGACCAUCGUGCCGGCAAUGCAUCAUUCAAAUUUCAGCCCUAUCAACUCUCAAUGGUAGGAUAGUUGCUUACCAUGGUGGUGAUGGGUGAUGGAGAAUUAGGGUUCGAUUUAGGACAGAGAACCUGAUAACAUCCUAGGAAGGCAGUAGGUGCACAAAUUACCCAAUCCUAACAUGGGGAGGUUUUCACAAAAUAUUAUAAUACCGGGCUCAAUGAGUCUGGUAAUUAGAAUGAGUACAAACUAAAUUCCUUAAAGAGGAUCCAUUGGAGGGCAAGUGUGGUGCCAGCAUCUGCGGUAAUUCCAUCUCGAAUAGCAUAUAUUUGAGUUAUUGCAGUUAAAAAGCUCAUAGCUGGACAUUGUGAUGGGCUGGCCGAUUCAUCUAUGGUGUGCACUGGUCAUCUCAUCCCUUCUGUCGGUGAUGCGCUCUUGGCCUUAACUGAUUGGGUCGUGCCUCCGACGCUGUUACUUUGAUAAAAUUAGAGAGCUCAAAGCAAGGCCGCGCUCUGUAUACAUUAGCAUGGGAUAACAUUAUAGGAUUUCGGUCCUAUUAAGUUGGCAUUAUGGAUCAGAGUAAUGAUUAAUAGGGACAGUCUGGGGCAUUCGUAUUUCAUAGCCAGAGGUGAAAUUCUAGGAUUUAUGAAAGACGAACAACUGAGAAAGCAUUUUCCAAUGAUGUUUUCAUUAAUCAAGAAUAAAAAUUGUGGGCUCGAAGAUGAUCAGAUACCAUCCUAGUCUCAACCAUAAACGAUGCCGACCCUGGAUCGGCAGAUGUUUCUUUUAGGACUCCGCCGACACCUUAUGUGAAAUUAAAGUUAUUGGGUUCGGGUGGGAGUAUGGUCGCAAGGCUGAAACUUAAUGGAAUUGACAGAAGGGCACCACCAGGAGUGGAGCAUGCAACUUAAUUUGACUCAACACAUGGAAACAUACCAGGUCCAGACAUAGUAAAGUGUCGUUUGGUAGAGUGUGUUAACAAAAAUAACACAUGCAUUAUUUAUUUCUAUUAUUAAUACAUGGAUUGGGACAAUUUUUAUCUAUGGAUAACUAAUACCUUAUAUUAGUUAUACACUAUAUUUGGUAUUUGACUAUGUAUUACUAAUUCCCCAUCUUUUAUAUGUAUUAGUAAUACAAAAUAUUUCAAUACAUGCAUUACAUUAUUAAAUUACAAAUUUACUCCUUAAAUUACCAAUUUCUUUCUCACCAUUUCUCCACACCUUCUUCCUUCCUAAUCAAUCAUCUUCUUAUUUUUCUGAUUUCUUUCUUUUUACUUUCUUCAGAUUAAAUUUUGUCAAUUUCAUUCCGCCACAAUGUCAACAUUCCUUAAACAACCCAAAAUUUUUUCAAACCCGAAUAACAGUCCUACCUUACAUUUCUUACUUCAACCAUCUUUAUCAUCCUUUACCCAAACAUCAACAUAGGAACUGUCUCUUUCCUCCCAAGUUAAAAUACCAAGAGAAUUCUCUGUAACAACAAAGUUUUUCUUGGUUUUUUCUUUGGUUACUAGCAUUGGUUACCUCUCAAAAACUUUUUUACUCACAUCAAGGCGCACCAACACCAUACGAGACCCAAAUUCAUCAGUUACAAAUUCUAAUCAAUAAUGACAGCAAUGUUAGCACAGCGAACAAUACGACAAACUAGCUCAAAUUUAAGCUUCUUCCAUCGGAGAUUGUUCAUCGAAUACAUUUCCAUAAUACUUUGGUUCAAAACAAAUUUGCUUUAGAAAACUGUUUGUUUUGAUGUAGAAUUGAAAUUGGCAAAUGUGUGUAAAAAGGGUAUUUUGGUAAAUAAUAUUUUUUUAUAGAAACAAUAUAAAUAUAUAUUAUUUUUAAUACAUCAAACCAAACACUGUGUAAGAAAUAAUGUCUGCAUAAUAAAUACCAACAUUGCUAAUACUUGUAUUAAUAAUGCAAGAAUUAUUAAUACACCUUAUUCGGCAUUAUUCUAAUACACUCUACCUAACGACCCCUAAGGAUUGAUGGACUGAGAGCUCUUUCUUGAUUCUAUGGGUGGUGGUGCAUGGCCGUUCUUAGUUGUUAGAACAAUUUGUCUGGUUAAUUUUAUUAACGAACGAGACCUCAGCCUACUAAAUAGCUAAGCGGAGGUAUCCCUUCGCGGCCAGCUUCUUAGAGGAACUACGACCUUUUACGCCGUGGAUGUUUGUGGCAAUAAUAGGUCUGUGAUGCCCUUACAUGUUCUGGGCAGCACGUGCGCUACACUGAUGUAUUCAACGAGUUUAUAGCCUUGGACGGUAGUCCUGGUUAAUCUUUGAAAUUGUAUCGUGAUGGGGAUAGAUAACUGCAAUUGUUGGUCUUCAACAAAGAAUUCCUAGUAAAUGCUACUAAUCAGCUCGCAUUGACUAUGAACCUUCCCUUUGUACACACCACCCAUCGCUACUAUCGAUUAAAUGAUCCGGUAAAAUAUUUGGAUUGCUGUGAUGUUGGCGGUUUUCUCUCUAUGAUGUCACGUGAAGUCCAUUGGACCUUAUCAUUUUGAUAAAGCAAAAGUCAUUACAAGUUUUAUAUAGGUGAACCUGCAAAAUGAUCAUUG